rnacentral:rRNA from 1 species
CGGGACGGGUGGGUAAUGUCUGGGAAACUGCCUGAUGGAGGGGGAUAACUGCUGGAAACGGUAGCUAAUACCGCAUAACGUCGCAAGACCAAAGAGGGGGACCUUCGGGCCUCUUGCCAUCGGAUGUGCCCAGAUGGGAUUAGCUAGUAGGUGGGGUAACGGCUCACCUAGGCGACGAUCCCUAGCUGGUCUGAGAGGAUGGCCAGCCACACUGGAACUGAGACACGGUCCAG